rnacentral:antisense_RNA from 1 species
CUCAUUUGGACUCACUGGGAGAAGUGAUUCACUAGAACUCUCAUUGGAAGAAAUGACAGGAAAGCUCCCUCCAAUAUCUCAAUUUCCACCCCACCCAGUACCUGGUUCUAUGAUUCCACACCCUCCUAAUCCAUCCUGCCCUCCUAAUCCAUCCCACUCUCGUAAGCCAUCCCAUUCUCAUGCCCGCAAAUCCCUCCCUCUUCUUCAAUCUGCCAAGCCCCUUCCUCCUCUCCAGAAGUAUGUGGAUUUUUCAGUUUUCUGCCCUAACUGUUAUCCCACUGUGGCUCAUACCUGCCCUCCCCACUACCCUACCCUAAUACUCUACCUGCCCUGCUCUUCUGCUGUUCAUUACAAACCAUCCAUUUGUCAAUGCCCUGCACCCAGAACUCUUUCUGGUAACUCCUUUAUUGAUCACCCUAGCCCUCCUCCUAGCCCUACUGGUCAAUGCUUAGGUCCCAGAACUCUUCCCUGUGAUUCCCUUAUCCAUUCCCCUAUUCCUCCUCCUAACCCUCCUUGCCAACUCUCUGGUCCCAGAACUCUUUUCUGUGACUCCACUGUCUGUCCCCCUACUCCUCCUCCUAGCCCUGCUUGCAAAUGCUGUCGUCCCAGAGCUGUUUCCUGGGACUCCUCUACCUAUGCCUCUACCCCUCCUCCUUAGCCCUACUUCUUUCUAGUACCCUUUACUCUAGUCCCCAGGCCCCAGCCCUGCCAUCCCCAACCAGACCUAACGGUUCACAAGUCUCAUCUUGGAGAUGGUUUCCCUGCUCCUCGGGCAGUUCUGGAACAGUUCAGGAUGGCCAGGACUGUGGAUUCCCAGCAGUCUGACCUGGUGGACAAAGGAAAUGCAAGACAAUGGCAAACCAGCAUUCAGCCUCACCAGCCUGCAUGAGCCUCUACAUUUGUUCCUGGCUUCUUCAUGGAACUUGGUCUACAGCCACAAAGCAAACCACAGGGCCAGUGACAGAGAAGGCAGAGGGGAGUGUGGAGUGGGAAGCACCUAACCUGUUCUCAAGGAGGGGAAUGAUUGGCCAAGAUGAGCUUCAAUCGUAUGUCCACUACCUCCUGGCCUGACACUUGGCUGUGAGUCCUUUCUGGGCAGUGUCCAGGGGCGGUUCCAGUGACCAGGCAGGUGCUGAGAAGCACAGGCAGGUGAGUUAAGCAUUGGAAGGAGGUGGGUGUGAAAUAAGAUCCUGAGAGGUGGAGGGGACUAGGCAGGGUGGGUGGCGGCAGGGGAAUGGGUGACAACACCAAGAUCUACUCCAGCAGGAUGAGGGGACACUUGCCAGGAGACAGCGUGGGAUGCCAUUGCCUAGAGUUGGCAGAAGGACCAGGAGCAGGCAGGCAGCGAGAGGGCACCCAGAGUGCUCCUGAUCGGACCAAGCUGCAUGGAGGCCACAGUGGGACACCUGAGGGAAAAUGUGACCCCAGAUGAG